rnacentral:lncRNA from 1 species
UCGGUUAAAAUGGCCCUUGUGAUUGUUGUUUCGGGUUGGUACUCCUGAUCCAUAUUGAUUCUUCCUAUUGUCAAAUCCUUCCAACUCCAAACAUCUUUCUAUCAGCUCACCAAAGUGCAUAAUAUGCAGAGGUAGAACCGCCAUCUGGAUAUCAUAUUUCAAUCCAUCUUGAUACUUUUCUCACAUCCAUUCUUCCCUUGGAUGCAAGUGGUAAAAUUCAGAAUACUUUAGCAAGGAUUCAAACUUCCUAGUAUACUCUCC